CCUACGGGUGGCAGCAGUGGGGAAUAUUGCACAAUGGGGGAAACCCUGAUGCAGCGACGCCGCGUGAGUGAAGAAGUAAUUCGUUAUGUAACGCUCUAUCAGCCGGGAAGAAAUACUGACCUUACGGUCAGCAGACGGUACCUGAGUAAGAAGCCCCGGCUAACUACGUGCCAGCAGCCGCGGUAAUACGUAGGGGGCAAGCGUUAUCCGGAUGUAUUGGGUGGAAAGGGAGCGUAGACGGUGCGCCAAGUCUGGAGUGAAAUGCGGGGGCUUAACUGCGGAACUGCAUUGGAAACUGGCGAACUAGAGUGCGGGAGAGGUAAGCGGAAUUCGUAGUGUAGCGGUGAAAUGCGUAGAUAUUAGGAGGAACACCGGUGGCGAAGGCGGCUUACUGGACCGUAACUGACGUUGAGGCUCGAAAGCGUGGGGAGCAAACAGGAUUAGAUACCCGGGUAGGC
rnacentral:rRNA from 1 species